GAUGAACGCUGGCGGCGUGCCUAAUACAUGCAAGUCGAGCGAACAGACGAGGAGCUUGCUCCUCUGACGUUAGCGGCGGACGGGUGAGUAACACGUGGAUAACCUACCUAUAAGACUGGGAUAACUUCGGGAAACCGGAGCUCAUACCGGAUAAUAUAUUGAACCGCAUGGUUCAAUAGUGAAAGACGGGUUUGCUGUCACUUAUAGAUGGAUCCGCGCCGCAUUAGCUAGUUGGUAAGGUAACGGCUUACCAAGGCAACGAUGCGUAGCCGACCUGAGAGGGUGAUCGGCCACACUGGAACUGAGACACGGUCCAGACUCCUACGGGAGGCAGCAGUAGGGAAUCUUCCGCAAUGGGCGAAAGCCUGACGGAGCAACGCCGCGUGAGUGAUGAAGGUCUUCGGAUCGUAAAACUCUGUUAUUAGGGAAGAACAAAUGUGUAAGUAACUAUGCACGUCUUGACGGUACCUAAUCAGAAAGCCACGGCUAACUACGUG
rnacentral:rRNA from 1 species